rnacentral:rRNA from 1 species
AGAGUUUGAUUCUGGCUCAGGACGAACGCUGGCGGCGCGCCUAACACAUGCAAGUCGAACGAGCGAGAGAGAGCUUGCUUUCUCGAGCGAGUGGCGAACGGGUGAGUAACGCGUGAGGAACCUGCCUCAAAGAGGGGGACAACAGUUGGAAACGACUGCUAAUACCGCAUAAGCCCACAGCUCGGCAUCGAGCAGAGGGAAAAGGAGCAAUCCGCUUUGAGAUGGCCUCGCGUCCGAUUAGCUAGUUGGUGAGGUAACGGCCCACCAAGGCGACGAUCGGUAGCCGGACUGAGAGGUUGAACGGCCACAUUGGGACUGAGACACGGCCCAGACUCCUACGGGAGGCAGCAGUGGGGAAUAUUGCACAAUGGGGGAAACCCUGAUGCAGCGACGCCGCGUGGAGGAAGAAGGUCUUCGGAUUGUAAACUCCUGUUGUUGGGGAAGAUAAUGACGGUACCCAACAAGGAAGUGACGGCUAACUACGUGCCAGCAGCCGCGGUAAAACGUAGGUCACAAGCGUUGUCCGGAAUUACUGGGUGUAAAGGGAGCGCAGGCGGGAAGACAAGUUGGAAGUGAAAUCUAUGGGCUCAACCCAUAAACUGCUUUCAAAACUGUUUUUCUUGAGUAGUGCAGAGGUAGGCGGAAUUCCCGGUGUAGCGGUGGAAUGCGUAGAUAUCGGGAGGAACACCAGUGGCGAAGGCGGCCUACUGGGCACCAACUGACGCUGAGGCUCGAAAGUGUGGGUAGCAAACAGGAUUAGAUACCCUGGUAGUCCACACCGUAAA